rnacentral:rRNA from 1 species
AGAGUUUGAUCCUGGCUCAGGAUGAACGCUAGCGGCAGGCUUAAUACAUGCAAGUCGUGGGGCAGCAUGGUGUAGCAAUACACUGAUGGCGACCGGCAAACGGGUGCGGAACACGUACGCAACCUUCCUUUAACUGGAGAAUAGCCCGGGGAAACCCGGAUUAAUACUCCGUAACAUUAUGAGGUGGCAUCACUUUAUAAUUAUAGCUCCGGCGGUUGAAGAUGGGCGUGCGCCUGAUUAGGUAGUUGGCGGGGUAACGGCCCACCAAGCCUACGAUCAGUAACUGGUGUGAGAGCACGACCAGUCACACGGGCACUGAGACACGGGCCCGACUCCUACGGGAGGCAGCAGUAAGGAAUAUUGGUCAAUGGACGCAAGUCUGAACCAGCCAUGCCGCGUGGAGGAUGAAGGUCCUCUGGAUUG